UACGUAGGGUGCAAGCGUUGUCCGGAAUCAUUGGGCGUAAAGCGCGCGUAGGCGGCCCGGUAAGUCCGUUGUGAAAGUCAAAGGCUCAACCUUUGAACGCCGAUGGAUACUGCCGGGCUAGAGUCCGGAAGAGGCGAGUGGAAUUCCUGGUGUAGCGGUGGAAUGCGCAGAUAUCAGGAGGAACACCAAUAGCGAGGGCAGCUCGCUGGGACGGUACUGACGCUGAGGCGCGAAAGCGUGGGGAGCGAACAGG
rnacentral:rRNA from 1 species